rnacentral:rRNA from 1 species
GACUUAGCUUCGGCGAAGGUCUUAAUUGAAGCCCCAGUGAACGGCGGCCGUAACUAUAACGGUCCUAAGGUAGCGAAAUUCCUUGUCGGGUAAGUUCCGACCCGCAUGAAAGGCGUAAUGAUUUGGGCGCUGUCUCAACAAUAGACUCGGUGAAAUUUAAAUUCCAGUGAAGAUGCUGGGUACCCGCGACAGGACGGAAAGACCCCGUGGAGCUUUACUGUAGCUUGAUAUUGAAUGUUUGUGCUGCAUGUGCAGGAUAGGUAGGAGACUUUGAAGUCGGAACGCUAGUUUCGAUUGAGUCACCCUUGAGAUACUACCCCUGUUGUAUGAACGUUCUAACUCUGAUCAGUUAUCCUGAUCGAAGACAGUGUCUGGCAGGCAGUUUGACUGGGGCGGUCGCCUCCUAAAAGAUAACGGAGGCGCUCAAAGGUUUGCUCAGAAUGGUUGGAAAUCAUUCGUAGCGUGUAAAGGCAUAAGCAAGCUUGACUGUGAGACUGACAAGUCGAGCAGGUACGAAAGUAGGACUUAGUGAUCCGGUGGUUCCGUAUGGAAGGGCCAUCGCUCAACGGACAAAAGCUACCCCGGGGAUAACAGGCUCAUCUCCCCCAAGAGUCCACAUCGACGGGGAGGUUUGGCACCUCGAUGUCGGCUCAUCGCAUCCUGGGGCUGUAGUCGGUCCCAAGGGUUGGGCUGUUCGCCCAUUAAAGCGGUACGCGAGCUGGGUUCAGAACGUCGUGAGACAGUUCGGUCCCUAUCCGUCGUGGGCGCAGGAAAUUUGAGAGGAUCUGUCCUUAGUACGAGAGGACCGGGAUGGACAUACCUCUGGUGUACCAGUUGUUCUGCCAAGAGCACCGCUGGGUAGCUACGUAUGGAUUAGAUAAUCGCUGAAAGCAUCUAAGUGAGAAACUAACCUCGAGAUGAGAUUUCCCAUUCGUCAGAAGUAAGACCCCUGAGAGACGAUCAGGUAGAUAGGCUAGAAGUGGAAGUGUAGUGAUGCAUGGAGCGGACUAGUACUAAUAGGUCGAGGACUUAACCAAG